rnacentral:tRNA from 1 species
AGUUAAUUAACUUAUAUAAAGUAUUUAUUUUGAAAGUAAAGAAAAGAAUUAAAAUAAUUCUAUUAACUU